AUUGAACGCUGGCGGCAGGCCUAACACAUGCAAGUCGAGCGGAGCGGCGGACGGGUGAGUAAUGCCUAGGAAUCUGCCUGGUAGUGGUUGAUAACGUCCGGAAACGGGAGCUAAUACCGCAUACUAUCAGAUGAGCCUAGGUCGGAUUCGCUAGUUGGUGGGGUAAAGGCCUACCAAGGCGACGAUCCGGAACUGGUCUGGGAGGAUGAUCAGUCAAACUGGAACUGAGACACGGCCCAGACGCCUACGGGAGGCAGCAGUGGGGAAUAUUGGACAAUGGGCGAAAGCCUGAUACAGCCAUGCCGAGUGUGUGAAGAAGGGCUUCGGAUUGUAAAGCACUUUAAGUUGGGAGGCGUUACCAACAGAAUAAGCACCGGCUAACUUCGUGCCAGCCGCCGCGGUAAUUC
rnacentral:rRNA from 1 species